UUUAUGGUAGUAUGUGAUAAGAUUUCUGAACUUCAAUUUUACCAUAGAGCACAAAAGAAUAUAAUAAGUUAUAUGUAUGCGAUCAGGUUCAUUUGUGAUUCUAAAAUAGGGACCUAAUUUAUUUCUCUUGCUCACUGUAAUUAACUAGAAACAUAUAUUGCUAAUAAUAGGAAUUUCUGUUGAAACUCAGCUCAAGCUUAAUAAACAUUGAGAUCAGUGAUGUUUUCUUUUAUUGUCGAGAGUGCGGAAGAAAUCUGAAUAAUCAAAUUUCAAGGUGUAUGAAACACUUCUUUUCAAUUUCAAAAGCAGUUGUGUUGGGUAUUUGAGAAUGGUGGCAGCACUACAUGAGGGUAUGACACUCUGGCAAUUGGUUUUACUCCCUUCUCUAUUUUGUAUUGUUGGAUAUAUUGACGUAAGUAUGAUACGUUAAUAAUGACUUAGAUCUAUUGGUAAGUUCUUGGUUGGCCUUUCCUUUCUCACUCCAUCUGUGUGUUGAUUUGAUAACUACUACAACAUGCAGGUAUAAUGUGUGGGCAAUUUUUUCCUUGGUUCUUCAGGCUGCAUUGCAAUAGUUGGGGAGGUGUUGGAGAGGAACGGGAAUUGUACAACUGCAGUCUCCUGUAAUCAUCCUCCCUAAACUUUGGUGUGUCAUUUUUGCAUUUGUUGUACUGAACUGAAGUUUUAAUAUUGUAGUCCUCGGGUUUUAAUUAA